UACGUAGGGUCCGAGCGUUGUCCGGAAUUAUUGGGCGUAAAGGGCUCGUAGGCGGUUUGUCGCGUCGGGAGUGAAAACUCAGGGCUCAACCCUGAGCGUGCUUCCGAUACGGGCAGACUAGAGGUAUGCAGGGGAGAACGGAAUUCCUGGUGUAGCGGUGGAAGUGACGCAGAUAUCAGGAGGAACACCGGUGGCGAAGGCGGUUCUCUGGGCAUUACCUGACGCUGAGGAGCGGAAAGCAUGGGGAGCGAACAGG
rnacentral:rRNA from 1 species